UACAGAGGUCCCAAGCGUUGUUCGGAAUCAUUGGGCGUAAAGAGCGUGUAGGCGGUCCGGUAAGUCCGCUGUGAAAGUCGGGGGCUCAACCCUCGAAUGCCGGUGGAUACUGUCGGGCUAGAGUACGGAAGAGGCGAGUGGAAUUCCUGGUGUAGCGGUGAAAUGCGCAGAUAUCAGGAGGAACACCUAUUGCGAAGGCAGCUCGCUGGGACGUAACUGACGCUGAGAAGCGAAAGCAUGGGGAGCGAACAGG
rnacentral:rRNA from 1 species